AUGCAAGUCAGACGGGAAGUGGUGCUUCCAGUGACGGAUGGGUGAGUAACGCGUAAGAACCUGCCUUUGGGAGGGGAACAACAACUGGAAACGACUAUUAAUACCCUGCAGGCUGAGGAGCAAAAGGAGGAAGCCGCUUGAGGAGGGGCUUGCAUCUAAUUAGCUAGUUGGAGGCAAUAGCUUACCAAAGCAAUGAUCAGUAGAUGUUCCGAGAGGAUGAUCAGUCACACUGAGACUGAGACACAGCCCAGACAAACA
rnacentral:rRNA from 1 species